ACCGUACAUUAUUACUCUGAGACAAGUUACUCUGGGGGUUUUGGGCGCUCAUUGCUUUUCCAUUCUAUGCUCUGAUGACAGGGUUGAAUAACGGGAAUGCCCAGAGGGGCUGAAAUAAUACGAUCAAGUACAUUUCUUGGAAUACCAAAGGGGUUAACAACCCGGUGAAGCGUAAGAAGGUGUUGACACACUUAAAGGGUUUGAAUGCAAAUAUUGCAUUUCUACAAGAGACUCACUUGAGGACUGGUGAGCAUUUUAGGAUGUGUAAGGACUGGGUUGGUCAAGUGUUCCACUCGAACUUUCAUAGUAAAUCAAGAGGUGCUGCUAUUCUGGUUGAUAAAGCUACUCCCUUUGUAGCUUCUGAGGUUAUUGCUGAUCCUAAGGGACGAUACGUCAUAGUAACCAGUGAACUGUUUUCUACCCCUCUUGUUUUGGCUAGUGUUUAUGCUCCCAAUUGGGAUGACACAAGUUUCAUUUCUUCCUUUCUGUCUGCUAUUCCCAAUUUAGAUUCUCAUUUGUUGAUUUUAGGGGGGGAUUUCAACUGUAAAAUGUCCCCAGUUCUUGACAAGUCCUCACAAACAAAUACAGGCCCAUCUAAAUGUGCCCUACUUAUUCAAUCCUUUCUUCAGAAAUAUGCU